AAGUCGUAACAAGGUUUUCGAUCCCGUAAGUCGAUAGGAACACAUGGUCCUUCCCGCACGUGAAACUUACCGAAGCCUCAGCGGCCCGAAAGGGUUGCGCCCCGGACGACUCUAAAUAAGAGAGGGCGCAUUAAACGCUAGUCCGCCAGGAGAGCGGGCAACACUGCCAAAUUGCGGGGACACCCUUAAGCCCUUUGACACCAAGCCAUCGUCGAAAGACGGUGGUGGCCGAGCUAAUAGCCCUGGGUAUGGUAACAGUUCAAAGGGAUGAUCCCCUCGCGAGAGGGGUGAGAUGGGCAAUCCGCAGCCAAGUCCUACGGCCUCCGGGCUACGGAUGCUGUUCACAGGCCAAAUGGUAGUGGGUGGGACCGCCGCGUCCUGCUUAAGAUAUGGUCGGGCCCUGGGGGAGACCCCGGGGACAAUUCACUGCAAUUGCCAAACCGUUCCGUAGGUGAACCUGCGGAAGGAUCAUUCACAGAGCGAGUGGGUUCCGUCCCCUCCUCCAUCCCGUGCGUACCCUCCAGUCUCUGCCUCGGUCGGCCCCCCGUUUCGGCGGGGUCUGCCCGCCGAGGCCCAACCAAAACCUAGUUGUCAAACGUUGGCGUCUGAGUGAUGGAUUACAAACUAAACAAAACUUUCAACAAUGGAUCUCUUGGCUCCGGCAUCGAUGAAGAACGCAGCGAAAUGCGAUAAGUAAUGUGAAUUGCAGAAUUCAGUGAAUCAUCGAAUCUUUGAACGCACAUUGCGCCCUCUGGCAUUCCGGAGGGCACGCCUGUCCGAGCGCCGUUAUACCCCCUCAAGCCCAGCUUGGUGUUGGACCCCGCCCCCCGCUUUCGGGGGGCGCCGUCCGAAAGUCAUUGGCGUCGCGUCGCCGACCCCAGCGUUGUGGAAUCAUCCGCUGGAGUCGGCCGACGGGACCGCCUCGUCCCCAUCAGUAACGAUUGGCCUCGGAUCGGGCGGGGAUACCCGCUGAACUUAA
rnacentral:rRNA from 1 species